rnacentral:pre_miRNA from 1 species
UUACUAGUCACCUGGGGAUUUUGUUAAAACCCAGAUUCUGAUUUAGUAGGUCUGGGUUGGGGCCUGAGAUUCUACAUUUCUCAUAACUUCCAGUGAUGCUGUU